AUCACAGACAGUUCAGCUGCUUGCACUGGGGGAAAGGGAGAGUAUCAUGGUUACAGCUGGAUCACCUAAGGCAGAGAGGGAAGGAGCCAACAGGUAUAUGAAGAAGACUGUAUUUCCUCCUCAGGAAGAAAAAAUCACCUAUAACUGCGAUGAAUUUUAGCCAAAUUUAAGAGGCCUUGAAUUUGAAAUUGUCACUCAGAUUUGACUAAGUCAGGGAGAGUUGGUCAAAUCUGAUGGGAGAAAGACCAGAACAAACAACAACAAAAAUCUCAACAAUAUGAUCACUGGGUGCUCCAAUGAUACACGAUCUCACUAUGUUGCCCGGGCUGGUCUCAGACUCAUGACCUCAAGUUAUCUUCCCACCUCAGCCUCACAAAGUGCUGGGAUUAUAGGCAUGAACAACUGCACCUGGCCAAUUACAAUCACUCCACUGGCUGCAAUAGAUGCUGACACCAUAUUUGUAUAGCCUUCUGGACUAUGAGCCAAUUAAAACUCUCUGCAUUAUAAAUUA